UUGGAGGGCAAGUCUGGUGCCAGCAGCCGCGGUAAUUCCAGCUCCAAUAGCGUAUAUUAAAGUUGUUGCAGUUAAAAAGCUCGUAGUUGAAUUUCGGGAUUGACGUGACGGUCGUGCCUUACGGGGUAUGAACUGUCGCCGUUGAUUUCUCACCUUCUGGAGAAGCUCGAUGUCCUUAAUUGGGUGUCUUGCGGAACCAGGACCUUUACCUUGAAAAAAUUAGAGUGUUUAAAGCAGGCAUUAUUGCUCGAAUACAUUAGCAUGGAAUAAUAGAAUAGGACGGCAUGGUUCUAUUUUGUUGGUUUCUAGGAUCACCGUAAUGAUUAAUAGGGAUAGUUGGGGGCAUUAGUAUUCAAUUGUCAGAGGUGAAAUUCUUGGAUUUAUUGAAGACUAACUACUGCGAAAGCAUUUGCCAAGGAUGUUUUCAUUAAUCAAGAACGAAAGUUAGGGGAUCGAAGACGAUCAGAUACCGUCGUAGUCUUAACCAUAAACUAUGCCGACUAGGAAUCAGACGAUGUUAAUUUUUUAAUGACUCGUUUGGCACCUUACGGGAAACCAAAGUGUUUGGGUUC
rnacentral:rRNA from 1 species